AAGUUCGCAAGGCGCACACAUGCACAUUUCUCUUAUAAUUCCCAAUUUGUUUUAACAAUAGCAAUAUCAUAUGACUGUCAUUCACAGCUGACCGAAAGUUAUUUUCUGUGUUUCCAUAACUUAAACCACUGUGCAAAGCACGGCAACCACUGUGCUUACACGUAUUUGGCAUAACAAAUACGAAGAUCAAUAGAUCAAGUGCAUACGAAUGCGGCUAGCGACAGAUAAAUGGUUACAUCUCGAGCUAUAGCUGGACAGCAUUUGCUGCUAGAAUUCGCUUGAAGGAAUGCCGCCGACCAGACGUCGCCAGAGUCGUCGUCGCCAGCAGCCCACAGUUGGCUUUGGACAGCUUUGGACAACUUCACUAACGAACAUUUGAUGCAGUUUAGCGGCUUAGAAGAAUGGCUGCUGCAUUGGCCAAUGUGGGACUAUGCGGACCGGAUCGACUGCCAGCGCUCGCCCAAUAUCAAUCAGUCAAACGCAGCUGCCGCGUGGCGCGUGGAGCGUGGAGCGUGGCUCUGACCAGGGCACCUGGCUGUCAGCUCUCAGGUGGUAACCUGAGCCGCUGCGUGUUGUGCGACUUCUGCGGUACGUGCCGAUGAGGUAACAUAAACAGGCCCAACAUUCGCAUAAGCCGACUUCGACAGACGCCCUUCCCCAAAGCGCAGCUGUCAACGACUUCGUUUGGAGUGUGCCGCACAAAAGGUGUGUGUCCCGAUAACAUCGCGUUGGCAGAUGCAAAAUGUAUUUAGUUUUGCCAUUAUUUAAAUGAAGGCAUUCAAUUUUAACAACAGCAAAUGGCAAGGCGGAGCAAGUAUGGCCAGUUGACAGCAAAAGGCGAACCGACUUCCCGCGAACAGACGCUGCCUUUUAUGGGUAACUGUACAGAGGCUAGUGUUGGGUAAGGUUAUGAUAAGCUUCGAGUGUGUCAAUAAACAAGAAUAAAGUACA